AAUCAACGCUGGGCGGCGUGCCUCAGACAUGCAAGUCGAACGAUUAAAGCUCUCUUCGGAGAGUGUAUAGAGUGGCGCACGGGUGAGUAACACGUAAGUAAUCUACCUUCGAGGUGGGGAAUAACGUCCGGAAACGGACGCUAAUACCGCAUAAUGCAGCGGCAUCGCAAGACGACAGUUGUUAAAGAUUUAUCGCUUGAAGAGGAGCUUGCGGCAGANAGCUUGUUGGUAAGGUAACGGCUUACCAAGGCUACGAUCUGUAUCCGGUCUAAGAGGACGGUCGGACACACUGACACUGAAUAACGGGUCAGACUCCUACGGGAGGCAGCAAGUAAGGAAUAUUGGACAAAUGGAGACAACUCUGAUCCAGCCAUGCCGCG
rnacentral:rRNA from 1 species